UUUCGAUGCAACGCGAAGAACCUUACCUGGUCUUGACAUCCCGGAGACCCUUAGGAAACUAGGGGUGCUUCCAUCUGGAAGAAUCUGGAGACAGGUGCUGCAUGGCUGUCGUCAGCUCGUGUCGUGAGAUGUUGGGUUAAGUCCCGCAACGAGCGCAACCCUUGCCUUUAGUUGCCAGCAGUUCGGCUGGGCACUCUAAAGGGACUGCCGGUGUUAAACCGGAGGAAGGUGGGGAUGACGUCAAGUCCUCAUGGCCCUUAUGACCAGGGCUACACACGUACUACAAUGGCCGAUACAAAGGGCAGCGACACUGAGCGGAUCCCUUGAAAGCCGGUCCCAGUUCGGAUUGCAGUCUGCAACUCGACUGCAUGAAGUUGGAAUCGCUAGUAAUCGCGGAUCAGCCAAGCCGCGGUGAAUACGCUCCCGGGCCUU
rnacentral:rRNA from 1 species